AGAGUUUGAUCCUGGCUCAGAUAGAACGCUGUCGGCAGGCCCAACACAUGCAAGUCGAGCGGUAGCACAGGAGAGCUUGCUCUCUGGGUGACGAGCGGCGGACGGGUGAGUAAUGUCUGGGAAACUGCCUGAUGGAGGGGGAUAACUACUGGAAACGGUAGCUAAUACCGCAUAACGUCGCAAGACCAAAGAGGGGGACCUUCGGGCCUCUUGCCAUCAGAUGUGCCCAGAUGGGAUUAGCUAGUAGGUGGGGUAAUGGCUCACCUAGGCGACGAUCCCUAGCUGGUCUGAGAGGAUGACCAGCCACACUGGAACUGAGACACGGUCCAGACUCCUACGGGAGGCAGCAGUGGGGAAUAUUGCACAAUGGGCGCAAGCCUGAUGCAGCCAUGCCGCGUGUAUGAAGAAGGCCUUCGGGUUGUAAAGUACUUUCAGCGAGGAGGAAGGCAUUGUGGUUAAUAACCGCAGUGAUUGACGUUACUCGCAGAAGAAGCACCGGCUAACUCCGUGCCAGCAGCCGCGGUAAUACGGAGGGUGCAAGCGUUAAUCGGAAUUACUGGGCGUAAAGCGCACGCAGGCGGUCUGUCAAGUCGGAUGUGAAAUCCCCGGGCUCAACCUGGGAACUGCAUUCGAAACUGGCAGGCUAGAGUCUUGUAGAGGGGGGUAGAAUUCCAGGUGUAGCGGUGAAAUGCGUAGAGAUCUGGAGGAAUACCGGUGGCGAAGGCGGCCCCCUGGACAAAGGACUGACGCUCAGGUGCGAAAGCGUGGGGAGCAAAACAGGAUUAGAUACCCUGGUAGUCCACGCCGUAAACGAUGUCGACUUGGAGGUUGUUCCCUUGAGGAGUGGCUUCCGGAGCUAACGCGUUAAGUCGACCGCCUGGGGAGUACGGCCGCAAGGUUAAAACUCAAAUGAAUUGACGGGGGCCCGCACAAGCGGUGGAGCAUGUGGUUUAAUUCGAUGCAACGCGAAGAACCUUACCUACUCUUGACAUCCAGAGAACUUAGCAGAGAUGCUUUGGUGCCUUCGGGAACUCUGAGACAGGUGCUGCAUGGCUGUCGUCAGCUCGUGUUGUGAAAUGUUGGGUUAAGUCCCGCAACGAGCGCAACCCUUAUCCUUUGUUGCCAGCGGUUCGGCCGGGAACUCAAAGGAGACUGCCAGUGAUAAACUGGAGGAAGGUGGGGAUGACGUCAAGUCAUCAUGGCCCUUACGAGUAGGGCUACACAUGUGCUACAAUGGCAUAUACAAAGAGAAGCGACCUCGCGAGAGCAAGCGGACCUCACAAAGUAUGUCGUAGUCCGGAUCGGAGUCUGCAACUCGACUCCGUGAAGUCGGAAUCGCUAGUAAUCGUAGAUCAGAAUGCUACGGUGAAUACGUUCCCGGGCCUUGCACACACCGCCCGUCA
rnacentral:rRNA from 1 species